rnacentral:rRNA from 1 species
AGAGUUUGAUCCUGGCUCAGGACGAACGCGGCGGCGUGCUUAACACAUGCAAGUCGAGCGGGGAUAUUGACUUCGGUUGAUAUUCUAGCGGCGGACGGGUGAGUAACGCGUGAACAAUCUGUCCCAGACAGGGGGAUAACACUUGGAAACAGGUGCUAAUACCGCAUAAGACCACGACCCGGCAUCGGGUUGAGGUAAAAGGAGCAAUCCGGUUUGGGGUGAGUUCGCGUCCGAUUAGCUAGUUGGUGAGGUAACGGCCCACCAAGGCGACGAUCGGUAGCCGACCUGAGAGGGUGAUCGGCCACAUUGGAACUGAGACACGGUCCAAACUCCUACGGGAGGCAGCAGUGGGGAAUAUUGGGCAAUGGGCGAAAGCCUGACCCAGCAACGCCGCGUGAGGGAAGAAGGUUCUCGGAUUGUAAACCUCUGUCCUUGGUGACGAAGGAAGUGACGGUAGCCAAGGAGGAAGCCCCCCGGCUAACUACGUGCCAGCAGCCGCGGU